rnacentral:rRNA from 1 species
UACGUAGGGUGCAAGCGUUAAUCGGAAUUACUGGGCGUAAAGCGUGCGCAGGCGGUUUUGUAAGUCUGUCGUGAAAGCCCCGGGCUCAACCUGGGAAUGGCGAUGGAGACUGCAAGGCUUGAAUCUGGCAGAGGGGGGUAGAAUUCCACGUGUAGCAGUGAAAUGCGUAGAGAUGUGGAGGAACACCGAUGGCGAAGGCAGCCCCCUGGGUCGAGAUUGACGCUCAUGCACGAAAGCGUGGGGAGCAAACAGG